CCGCCAUGAAUAUCUAGCUAGCUAGCUAGCUAGCGGGAUUGUGUCUUGUAAAUUAUUUUGGCGCUGGCAAAUAUUUGUCUUGGCAGGAGUUUGUGACUUGGCUUUGCGAGGGUCGUGGUAAGGGUCGCUGUUUGAGAGAGAGGAGAGGAGAGAGAGAAGGAGAGGGAGAGCGAGACAAGUGUCAAUGGGGAGACGCGCAUUGGAUUCGGUACGAUUCAUUAAACUCUGAGCAUAUACUACUAAACUCUUUGUGUAUCUAUUUCUAAUUGUCUGCUAUUGUUAUUACCUGCCGUACUACCUGCCGUACUACCUGCCGUACUACCUGCCGUAGUACCUGCCGUAGUACUAUGAGUACCAUCAGUGCGAUCAUCCAGGAUGAAACCAAUGCGUCGUUAUUUGUGUACGUCUGUAUUUAUAUACGUGUGUUUGUGCGCGUCUGAAUGCCUUUAUGUAAAUUUGUAUGCAUAUGUAUGUAUGUAUUAUAUUUGUCGACUGUCGCGUGAGAGGCAACAUCGUGCAAACCUGCGAAAGGGCCUCUGGAGCCCUCUGGGUGAAGAGCGGGUGAUGGGGGGCCUGAUGUGCCGCACCGGAAAAACCGCUACGCACAGCCCCUGUUCCGUACGUCAGUUUGAGGCAUGUACGACAUGUACAAUAGUAAGCCUACGAAUUGAGGUACAGGGAAGGAGCUGCAAGCGUGAGGCGUAUGUGUGUGCGUGUCCGUAGAUGGAGACAUGGUUAGUUAACAGGUGGUUAUUGUUAGUUAGGACGUCCGCAAUCGGUUAGUCAGCGAUAUAUAAAACGGGGGUGAUGGUGGGUCGAUCAUUAUAAUAAACGCAGCAGUCGGCUCAUUUAGGGCGAAGUGG
rnacentral:lncRNA from 1 species